CGCCCACCGGGACCCGCUGCCUGUCCUCGGUAGGCAGGCGGCGGAGCCAGGAGUAGAACCCGGGUCCUUCUGAUUCCCGAGCCCGUGCUCUAUCCACCAGGCCACGUUAGUUCGCCUCCUUUCUUCAAGAAGAGAGCUGUCUGCUUAACGAAAAGGCCCUUUUCCCAGGGCUCGUUAGUAGCUCGGCGUGACGUGUUUAGAUGAUUAUGGAAAGAUAUGGAGAGUCACAUCUUAGCGGCCUUUUCACAGCCUCUACGGGCUCCAGCCACGGAAUACGAGAUUUCUUCUCGGAGCCCACUGAUCAUCCUCCCCCCGCCCCACGGAAGAGGACGUUUCGGCCGGCGAAACGGGAAACGCCUCCUCGCUGCACCUCGAUACGGUCAGGAUUAGAACCCGGGUCCUUCUGGCUUCCAGGCCCGAGCUCUAUCCACUAAGCUGCACGGCUUUCCGCGAGGCCGCGCCGCUUCAUUUCGCGAUCCUCGGAGAGAGGCCCGAUCAACGAAUACCUCGGAGCGACCGGAACGAGGCGGAGGGCUUCGCGGAGCAGCGGGAGUUCACGGCUUCGGGGGAGCCCAGGAACUCCUGGGUUCCGUUUUCAGCACGGGGCUGGGCUCCUUAAUCCCCCUCCGCGGCCACGCCCGACCUCGUAUCCACGAGGGAGCCGGGGAAAGGAGCCCAGUUUGGAGCGCUCAAUCCUCUCCUCAUCCUUCCCUAUCCCGACCGACCGGAUGGACCCCCGGGCAUCGUGGUCAACGUGCCCACCGCAAGCAACCGGCCCAGCAACGUGCCUAGCGACGGAGGACCCGUCGCUCUCUGCCCGAUUCCUCUCCAAGGGCGUUCCAACGCUCGGUACAGUUCUUGGAAAUACCACCGUCGUCAGCAUCGUCAUCAACUGGGCUCACUCCAGCGCAGGGAGAAAAUGAGGAAAAGAAAUGUUAAUUGGGAAAGGCCCUGGAUCGCGCUAUUGUCUCGAAUAGGCUUUCAAAGAGCGGCAAUUAUGUGAGGUUGAAUGUGUACUCUAUGGUCAGAAGACUCGAAACCGCGAAACGCCCCGAACUCCGAGUCCCGGGCGUGGGAAGGGGACUGCGUCCGACGAUUAGAGGGGGAGACAGACGUUUGAAAAACCAAUUUCCGGCUAGG